rnacentral:snoRNA from 1 species
UGAUGACAUUUCUCCGGAAUCGCUGUACUUCUGCCUUGAUGAAAGUACCUUUGAACCCUUUUCCAUCUGACGCCACCGAUCUUCCUCGUC